GCGCAGCAGCCCGGCGUGGGCGGCCCGCGCCGCCUCCAGGGCGUCGCUGCGGGCGGCGAGUUCGGCGCUCGCGGUGCGCA
rnacentral:tRNA from 1 species